AAAAAAAUCCUUUCUUUUAUUUCGACGCUCCCGUCCUCUGAAGCCUCACUCCACCGUUCUCCUCCUCUAGAUCGUCUCUCCCUCCUCCUCUCUAUCUCUGCCCCCCCUUCGUCUCUCGAGCUCUUAUCGGCCACCCCUCCCUCAACAAUCUCGGCGGUGGUCUGAUCUUUGGCCUCCGAAGGCAAACCGCUUUCACCACGGAGGCGAUCCGAUCUCGAUCUGGUGCUCCGACACGCCGCCGCGGAGUGGACUAAUGAGCAAUGCAGAGGUCUCGUAGAGCUCUUCUGCAAAGAAGAGCUGCUUUGGAGAACAAUGUCUUUGCUGGGAGGAAGCACUUGUACAAGGUCUCUCUGUCUAUUGUAAUCCUUUCAUGGGUUCUCUUCUUCCUCCUCAAUUCCUUGAUCAGCAAUGGCAAUGGUUAUAAAGAUGGAAUGGGUGCUGUUGUAGAUGCAGCCAGCUGGCACACAGGUACCCCAGAUCUAGAUGGUGGUAGAGAUUCUUGGGAUGACUUGGCACUAUCAGAUGCCAAUCUCAAUAACAAUGUUGAGGAAAGCCCCAUUUCAGAGAGCAAGGGUGUAGGGAGUGGCACAGAAGUUUUAGUUAAUGAAGAUGAUAAAGUAAAUCUGUCAACUUUUGGAAAUGAGCAGGUAGCUGAGAUAGUCUCUGAGUCAGACAUCAAGGUGGACAAGGAUGCCCCACUUAAAAGUGAAAGAUUAUCUCGUAUUGCUCCUCCUGGUCUUGAUGAGUUUAAAAGCAAAGCAGUCACUGCAAAAGAAAAGCCUAUUCCCAGCCAAGCAGGCAGUGUUAUUCACCGAGUUGAGCCUGGUGGGAAAGAGUAUAACUAUGCUUCUGCUACUAAGGGUGCAAAGGUCUUAGAUUUUAAUAAGGAAGCUAAAGGUGCUUCUAACAUAUUAGACAAAGAUAAGGACAGGUAUCUACGAAAUCCAUGCUCUGCAGAGGAGAAAUAUGUAGUUAUAGAGCUUUCAGAAGAAACUUUAGUUGACACCAUUGAGAUAGCAAAUUUUGAGCACCACUCUUCUAAUUUAAAAGAUUUUGAACUGCUGAGUAGUUUAAUUUAUCCGACUGACGACUGGGUCAGACUCAGUAAUUUUACUGCUGCAAAUGUGAAACAUGCCCAGAGAUUUUCUCUUCCAGAGCCAAGGUGGGCAAGGUACCUAAAACUCAAUUUACUCAGCCAUUAUGGUUCAGAAUUCUACUGUACAUUAAGUGUGGUGGAGGUGUACGGUGUGGAUGCAGUUGAGAGGAUGCUGGAGGAUUUGAUCUCUGUUGAGAACAAGCGAUUGGAGCCUGAAGAACAUAAUGCUGAGCAAAUACCACUGCAAGAAUCCACUGACAGUGAUGAUACCUAUCAAGAACUUGAUAAAGAAAUUGAUGAUGAAUCUCCAUCUGAAAGUCAGCAGACAAAACAGGAGCCAUCAAAAAACAAUGUGCCUGAUCAAACUGAUGAGACAAGGCCACCACAAUUUGAUCAAAAAAAGGAGACAAGGCCACUGCCAGUUGGAAGGAUGCCUGGAGAUGCUGUUCUCAAGGUACUAAUGCAGAAAGUCCAGUCUCUUGACAUGAAUUUUUCUGUUUUGGAGCAGUACCUGGAGGAGUUGAAUAGCAGAUAUGGGCACAUCUUUAAAGACUUUGAUGAUGAUAUCACUGAGAAGGAUCGGCUUCUGGAGAAAAUCAAAUUACAGAUAAAGAACCUUCAAAGCAGCAAAGAUGAUUUUGUACGUUGAAUUUUCAAUCUCGGCCAAUAACAUUGGAGAGCUUCUCUCAUGGAAAGUCCUCGUUUCCUCACAGUUGGACCAGCUGGUCAGAGAUAAUGUGAUGCUCAGAUCGGAGAUCGAAAGGGUUCGAGAACAUCAGUUUGACAUGGAGAACAAGGGUCUUGCAGUGAUAUUCAUAAGUUUUGUCUUUGGGUGUUUAGCUGCUACAAAGUUGUUUAUAGGUAUGCUCUCAUGUGUUUGUAAAAUACAUAAUUCUAAAACGUUUUGUGGGACAAGCUCUGCUUGGCUUAUCUUGCUUCUGAGCAGCGGCAUUAUAGCUUCCAUCCUGGUGUUGUAAUAGUUGUGUGCGCUACAUUUCCUAUAUUUGCGGCAAGAUAUUACUGUUUCAUGA